AAUACUUAAAAAAUAUAUAAAAAUUUUGAAAAUAUAGUUUCAAACAUAAUUUUCGUUUUUCAAAAAGAAAUUUGAAAAAACAAAUUCAAAAGUUCAAAAAAAAAUUAUAAAAAAGUUCAAAUUUGAAAAAGUAUAUUUCGAAAACAUAAAAAUUAUUAUUUUUUUUUAUUUUUUAUUUUUUAUUUAUUUUUUAUUUUUCAUUUUUCAUUUUAAUUUUUUAAUUUUUAGUUUUUAAUUUUUAAUUUUUAAUUUUUAUUUUUUAUUUUUUGUUUUUCAAUAUUUUAUCUUAUUUUACCUUUUUAAAUAAAACAAUAUUAAUC
rnacentral:lncRNA from 1 species